UUUCUGUGGCUUCGCAAUUGAAUAGCUCGAUCUUUUCUUUUCAUUUUAGAAUUUGUCCGUUUGUUUUCCUUUCGAAUUAGCGAUGCCUGCUUGUAUGAUGAAUACUUGUUUCUUCUUUCCAUGGAAUCGUUCGAAAGAUAGAAUUACUUUCUCACUGUUAACUAGCUUUUGAUUUUGAUGUUUCGGUGGAUGUUUUUGAGGUUGAAUGCGAGAAAAAUUGCUGCAAGGCAAACGAUGUGGUUGUAUAUUCAAUAAUGAGGUUUCCAGUGGUGGAGAGGCGGUGGCGAACAGCAUGCAAGACCGAGAAUGAUAGAUAUACUUCAGACGAUCUCACGUCUAGCGUUUAGGGUUUACUUCCGAAUGAUUUUGAGUUAGCUGCUGCAUUUGUUGAGAGAAGGAAGAGGGUCUAAUAAGACUCACAUUGAGGGAUUUUCAUUCCAUCCUUGUGCCCAAGUUCCUGAACAUGGCAUAGAUAAGCAAGCUGUGAUGUUUUCUCCCCCACUUGGUAAUUUUGUUUUAAUGCGUUAUCAGGCAAUGUGUGCUUCUGGGCCUCCUGUUAAAGGAUUUUUACCAAUUAUCCAUGGUCUCUGAGGAUAAAGGUGCUUUUUU